rnacentral:tRNA from 1 species
GCGAGAGUGCUGGAAUAGGUAGACAGGCACGUUUGAGGGGCGUGUGUCAUAUGGCGUGGGAGUUCAAGUCUCCUCUCUCGCACCA